UUUCCAGGCAAAUCCGGAAAACCAAGGCUGAGGCGUGAUGACGAGGCACUACGGUGCUGAAGUGACAAAUGCCCUGCUUCCAGGAAAAGCCUCUAAGCAUCAGGUAACAUCAAAUCGUACCCCAAACCGACACAGGUGGUCAGGUAGAGAAUACCAAGGCGCUUGAGAGAACUCGGGUGAAGGAACUAGGCAAAAUGGUGCCGUAACUUCGGGAGAAGGCACGCUGAUAUGUAGGUGAAGCGACUUGCUCGUGGAGCUGAAAUCAGUCGAAGAUACCAGCUGGCUGCAACUGUUUAUUAAAAACACAGCACUGUGCAAACACGAAAGUGGACGUAUACGGUGUGACGCCUGCCCGGUGCCGGAAGGUUAAUUGAUGGGGUUAGCGGUAACGCGAAGCUCUUGAUCGAAGCCCCGGUAAACGGCGGCCGUAACUAUAACGGUCCUAAGGUAGCGAAAUUCCUUGUCGGGUAAGUUCCGACCUGCACGAAUGGCGUAAUGAUGGCCAGGCUGUCUCCACCCGAGACUCAGUGAAAUUGAACUCGCUGUGAAGAUGCAGUGUACCCGCGGCAAGACGGAAAGACCCCGUGAACCUUUACUAUAGCUUGACACUGAACAUUGAGCCUUGAUGUGUAGGAUAGGUGGGAGGCUUUGAAGUGUGGACGCCAGUCUGCAUGGAGCCGACCUUGAAAUACCACCCUUUAAUGUUUGAUGUUCUAACGUUGGCCCCUAAUCGGGGUUGCGGACAGUGUCUGGUGGGUAGUUUGACUGGGGCGGUCUCCUCCUAAAGAGUAACGGAGGAGCACGAAGGUUGGCUAAUCCUGGUCGGACAUCAGGAGGUUAGUGCAAUGGCAUAAGCCAGCUUGACUGCGAGCGUGACGGCGCGAGCAGGUGCGAAAGCAGGUCAUAGUGAUCCGGUGGUUCUGAAUGGAAGGGCCAUCGCUCAACGGAUAAAAGGUACUCCGGGGAUAACAGGCUGAUACCGCCCAAGAGUUCAUAUCGACGGCGGUGUUUGGCACCUCGAUGUCGGCUCAUCACAUCCUGGGGCUGAAGUAGGUCCCAAGGGUAUGGCUGUUCGCCAUUUAAAGUGGUACGCGAGCUGGGUUUAGAACGUCGUGAGACAGUUCGGUCCCUAUCUGCCGUGGGCGCUGGAGAACUGAGGGGGGCUGCUCCUAGUACGAGAGGACCGGAGUGGACGCAUCACUGGUGUUCGGGUUGUCAUGCCAAUGGCACUGCCCGGUAGCUAAAUGCGGAAGAGAUAAGUGCUGAAAGCAUCUAAGCACGAAACUUGCCCCGAGAUGAGUUCUCCCUGAGACUUAGAGUCUCCUGAAGGAACGUUGAAGACGACGACGUUGAUAGGCCGGGUGUGUAAGCGCAGCGAUGCGUUGAGCUAACCGGUACUAAUGAACCGUGAGGCUUAACCUUACAACGCCGAAG
rnacentral:rRNA from 1 species